ACUCCUACGGGAGGCAGCAGUCGAGGAUCUUCCGCAAUGGUCGAAAGACUGACGGGGCGACGCCGCGUGGAGGAUGAAGGCCUUCGGGUUGUAAACUCCUGUCAGGGAUUAGGAAUGUCAGUGCGUUAAUAGCGUGCUGGUUGACAAAGGUCCCAAAGGAAGCCACGGCUAACUCUGUGCCAGCAGCCGCGGUAAUA
rnacentral:rRNA from 1 species